GCCUCUGUAGCUCAGUGACAGAGCACUGGUCUUGUAAUCUAGGGGUUGUGUUGUUCAAUCCUCAGAUUGUGGCA